CAGCAGCCGCGGUAAUACGGAGGGGGCUAGCGUUGUUCGGAAUUACUGGGCGUAAAGCGCACGUAGGCUGCUUUGUAAGUCAGAGGUGAAAGCCCGGGGCUCAACCCCGGAUGUGCCUUUGAGACUGCAGGGCUAGAACGUCGGAGAGGUGAGUGGAAUUCCGAGUGUAGAGGUGAAAUUCGUAGAUAUUCGGAAGAACACCAGUGGCGAAGGCGGCUCACUGGACGACUGUUGACGCUGAGGUGCGAAAGCGCGGGGAACAAACAGGAUUAGAGACCCGUGUAGUCCCUGUCUCUUAUAC
rnacentral:rRNA from 1 species